AUUGAACGCUGGCGGCGUGCCUAAUACAUGCAAGUCGAGCGAACCACUUCGGUGGUGAGCGGCGAACGGGUGAGUAACACGUAGGUUAUCUGCCCAUCAGACGGGGACAACGAUUGGAAACGAUCGCUAAUACCGGAUAGGACGAAAGUUUAAAGGUGCUUCGGCACCACUGAUGGAUGAGCCUGCGGCGCAUUAGCUAGUUGGUAGGGUAAAGGCCUACCAAGGCGACGAUGCGUAGCCGACCUGAGAGGGUGAACGGCCACACUGGGACUGAGACACGGCCCAGACUCCUACGGGAGGCAGCAGUAGGGAAUCUUCGGCAAUGGGCGAAAGCCUGACCGAGCAACGCCGCGUGAAUGAUGAAGGCCUUCGGGUUGUAAAAUUCUGUUAUAAGGGAAGAAUGGCUUUAGUAGGAAAUGGCUAGAGUGUGACGGUACCUUAUGAGAAAGCCACGGCUAACUACGUGCCAGCCGCCGCUGUAAUAC
rnacentral:rRNA from 1 species